ensembl:lncRNA
CUUUGUAGGAGAAAAACCACUCGGGCUUCACGUUUGGAUGACACUUGGCUCCCACCUCCUAUAAGCCUGAACGUCUGUGGAGCAGGGAGGUGAGCCCGAGUCGAAGGAUCCAGCUGACGUGGUUCGUGAGUGUGUCGGGAGGAAAGGCGCAGGAAGCCGGGGGCUGCGGCCAGGACUGUGACAUCAUGGCUUUGGCAUCCUGUCCGGUCCUGGAAAAAUGCCGCCCACACCACCCCGAGGAACUGAGACUCAGGAGACAGAAGCUAUGUGGCUGCUCGGCCAAGUCCUGGGAGCAAGGAGCCGGGCUUGGAGGUCUUAUCCAUCAGAGCGAGGGAAGGGUGAAACGCUGGUAUGUGGAUGGCCGCCAAGAACUCAAGGAGAGAUGAGAGGAGAAACAAAACCCUUCAGUUGAAACGCCAGUGGAAAAACACUUCUCACAGACAAACACCGAGAAGCACAGUGUGUCCUUAUUGUGCCUGGGCUUUCUUUCUUUUUUUUUAAACGGUUUUGGAAAAAUGAUCUUUUGAUGUUUAUAAAGUGGCUCCUGAAUGAGGGUCACUCUGGGGCAGUUGGGAACUCACGGCCUGAGCGCUCGCAUUUCCCAGACAUGGUGAGGAGGGAAGGUGCGGGGCCAUGUGCCUAAAUGAUACGUCGGCCGUCCGCCGGGCCGUCUCUGCUCUCCGUUUUCCUGCAGUCCUUGCUGGUCGCACAGCCCGGCUGCACCCCGCCUCUGCCCUGCGGUCCCUGCUGGGAUGUGGCUCCCUUCUCUGAGCUCUGUGAGGGCAGGCUAGGCUCGAUUGUCUGCAUUCUCAGUAUCUAUGCUAUAAAAGGUGCUCAGUCAACGGAUUUCAGUUAAUAAGCGCAUAGACCAUGGCUUACACUUUUAAAUUAACAGAGGAGUUGAGGCUCGUAUCCCAUGCAGACAGAACCUCUGUCCAGCAGGAGGGGACCCAGACAUGACAAUUUCUGGGCAGCUACAAACGCAGCCCAGCUUCAAGCCAACAUUCUUUCACUAUGUAGAGUCCACAUUUAUUUAAGUGCUUCCCAGGUGGCUCAGGGAUAAAGAAUCUUCCUGCCAAUGUAGGAGAGGCAAGAGACGUGGGUUCGAUCCCUGGUUUGGGAAGAUUCCCUGGAGGAGGACAGGGCAACCCACUCCAGUAUUCUUACCUGGAAAUCCCAUGGAUAGAGGAGCCUGGCAGGCUACAGUCCACGGGGCCGCAGAGAGUUAGACACAGCUGCGUGCACACGCGUGUCCACACACAAACAUACCACGUUUAUUUAGCAAGAAGAAAUAGCCUGUGGUGGAAACUGUAUCUCUCUUCCCACUUAGGGAUUUGUUAGAGACAUUGAACACAGCCCAGCAUCUAAACUGUGUCUGGAGUUGCCGUUUUUCAUUUCAUUUUUUUCCAUCUCUUUUGACUGGAUUACAGUGAGUCACUCACAUACACAGAGAAUUGAAAUAACACAGAGCCUUAUUCAAAAUGAAUUUAAAAUUUAUUUUUCCUGGCUUUCAUUACCCCCCAAAAGACAUUUUCCAUUUUUCUGGGGUCUUUAUUAUCUUUGGGGUUUUCUUUUGCAAUUUUCUGAGCACAGUUUCUUGUUUACACACUAAGCGGUCUGAAAUUUACACAAUGAGACAAACCCCUCAGUCCCAGGAAACACCCUCCUCGGCGCGUUCUGUGGGGUCAGAACCUCGACUGACCGUGGAAGCGGCCUCAGCUGACGGACGCUGGUGGCUGCACCUUCAGCGUUCUCUCAGCCGGGAAAUAUGAGCUGAGCCAGGGGAUCUCCGCUCCCUCUCCACUGGGGGAGUGAGCCACGCGGUGGGGAGAGGAGGUUUCUAUGGAGUCAUUUAUCCGAAGAGGCUUCCAUGAGCUCCUGCAUUAAUGAGGCCCCACUUCUGAUGGUUCCAGGAAGGCCUGAGUAUGUGGGGAGCCGGGGCUCCAGAAGGUGCCUGGUGUUUUGCAGGUUAAGCCCCCUACCUGAGCCCUCUGCUCACAUCCAUCAACAGCCAGCCUGACGGCGACCAAUGGCCAGGAAAUAAUGACAAUAGCGCCAGCUGCCCCAGAGUGUGAGCUCCACCCAACGCGGCCGGCUCCCAGGGCUCAGGAAGCGAGGUCCAGACAGGCAAAUGCACCAGGUGUAAGAAACAGGUGCUCAGUGAACAGUGGGGACUGGAGGAAUUCGCUGACACGUCGCUCUGGAUAAAGCCCCCCUCUGUGUCCUUUUAUUGAGCCCUCGCCACUAUGAAGAGCACCGCCGUGUCCAUUUGACAGGUGAGAAAACUGAGGCCCAGAGGCAGACUUAUCCACAUAAGUACAGCUGACCUGAGCUCGGACCUGUUGGACCUUGGGAUCUGCGCUCUUUCCACAUCCUGCGUGGUCGCUGGGGACCUGAUUCUAUCAGAGAACCUGGCAAGGCACAGAGGACGCCCACUGCAGCACCCACUCCCCGCAGACUGCUGGCCCCCGGGGGCAGAGGCUCAGGGCCGUUUGCAGGGCAGCAGAGCCUCCUGUGCUGCCAACUGCAGAUAAAGCCCAGCAGAGCCUCGGCUGGUCGGCUUGUCGCUGCCCCAGAGCAAGGCUUUAUUUGACUCUGUGUGGGCGGGUUUUGUGAGGCAGAGAGGGGUCGAAGUCCAGGGCUGCAGAAAGCGGCUCUCCAGGGCAUUCUCACAGGAAACGCUGGUUUUGUGAUGGAUGGGCCUCACUUGGGGCUCCGCCAGCGGGCUGGAAGCACUGUGCCCUUUCUGUAGAGUGGUCCUGCCUCUGGGCAUGUAUUCUGGGCGUGUUUUCCACAUCACAGCAUUUUCACAUUUUCACAUGUGUAUGCGUGUGUGUGCACUGGUGAUUGAAGGGCACACGCCUGUGACCAGCCCCAGCAGCUGAGCCGGGGGCAGAAUCCCUGGGGGAGGGGGCGGGCAGGGGCGGCUGAUCAGGGGACUCCCAGACCCGGUCCAGACCUGGUGACUCAGCCUCUGGGCUGGGUCCCUGGAAUGUUUAACAUGUUUCCUAAGCCAGCGGUCACCAACCUUUGAGGCACCGGUGCCUAAUUUCAUGGAAGACAGUCUUUCCGCGGACUGGGGUAGAGGGCAUGGUUUAGGAUGAUUCAAGCACAGUAGUCUAUUGUGCACUUUGUCUCUAACCUAAAGCCUCCAGUGAUCUGACAGGAGGCACCAGCUCACGGCCCGGGGUGAGGACCCCUCUCCUAGACGGUUCUUACGCUGAAAGAUGAGAACCACUGUUGGAGGGAUUGGGCAAAAAGACGGAUGUCCACCUUCUGCUUUUAGACUUGUGCAAUAUGGGAUAAUUUUGUAAUUUAAGAAGUACAGGUUUGGGAGAAGAAAGGAAAGUAGGGGCAAGAGGGAACAGGCCGGGGUGGAGGCUUGGACAGAGGAGCCCAGUCUCCCAGACUCUGGGCUGCACAGUGAUAUUUACAGCUGCGGCCCCCUGGGCCCCCUUCUCUGUUUUCCUUCUCUCUCCUUCUCCCACAUACCAUCACCCCCCAGGCAAGCAUCACUACAAUACCACCCUCCCCACAAAAAGACCCCAAACGACUCCGAACUAGUAUCCUCAAUGUCCGGCCACUGGAAUUGUUCAUUCUGCCCAAGGGACAGACAUCCCUAUUUCAUGACUGGUAGAGCCCAUCCAAACCUUCCGUACUUUUGCAAAGCUGCCUUCUUAUCACAAACAGAUAAACCACCGUCUUCCGUCUCCCAGCUUCCAGUUCACGCGGGGGUGUUUGGGUUUUUGUUUUUGUUUCAAAUGACUUUCUUUCACAUCAAAAAUGCAGAAAAAGUCCAUUUCAAAGAGGACCGUCAAUUCUAAAAUCUCUAGUUUUUCACUCUCGGUGUUUUUAAGGUGCUGCCACUCAGGCUGGCCCCCAGGCGGGUCCUGGCAGGUGUCAGUUGUACCUGAUUCAAGGGCAGGCCGUGCUCACCACAGGGGGCCUUCCAGCCUGGACACCAGGCACUGGCCAACACUGACCCAAGCCCUCGGCCCCCUUGAGUCCUCCGCCCUGGUCCUGCAGGCCUCAUGCCCUCUGCUUGUGAAUAAGUCUUCUUGGUGACCGGGUCUUUCCCCAAACUGGGCAGAUUAAGUUGCCUCAGACUGGCCUGCCAACUCCCAGGGUGGCCUGAGAUUCACUGCUUGGGGAGGGGGUGGUGAGAGCCCCCCGGGCCCACAUCUGCUGGCACACCCUAACCCCACAGCAGCCCUCGGCCAGGCUCCAACCACGCCAAAGGACGGGGUGAGCGGGGCUCCUUCACAGGAGGCAGGCGAGGUCUUCACGGGGUGGGAGAGCUUGCCACGGGGUGGAACGGCCAUAGACAGCAAGUUCGCACAGGUGUCCUCGACCCAGGCUGCAUGUUAGAAUCACCGAGGACUGUCAGGACAUCCCAUCCCAGGCUCCACCCAGACAAGGAGGAAGCCAGAGUUUCUGGAGCUUUCUGUGCAACUCUGCACAGGCGCCCUGUGAGGAACCAGUGCGGAGACCCCUGCUCCCCUGCUGCCCCGGACAGUCGGCUGUGGCCCCGAAGCCCUGGGUCACCUUGGGGGUCAGGAAGCCCUAGCCUGGACCCCCAGUUGGAACCUGCGUUUUAACAAGGCACCCGGGGUGGUUCGCUUAUCCACUAACGUCCCAGAAGCUCAGCUUUGGAUGACUACCCUCGAGAUGCCCCGGUGCCUGAGUGUCUCAGCAGAUACCCACCCCCCAUCUGCAG